CAAUGAGUAAUUCUUUCUUAAAAUAUUCAAGUAGCUACAACAAAACAGAUUACAUUAAUUCACCAGUAAGAGGCAGCAGUGCGCUAAUGUGCAACAGGAACAAAACAACAGAAGAAGAAAUAAGGACGGUGAGCAUGCGCAGCAAGCAAAGUUUUGAAGCUGCGUCGAAUUUGCUUAAACUAAAAAGUAGAAAGACUGUUUACAUUUCACCUCUGGACAAAGAAUGAUCGAUUACUUCUACACAAUAAUAAUAAGCACCAGUGUUAGCAACAGGGAGCAACGAUCUUUGCUAUUCUGCUAUUAGAACAAAAACUAUAGAAAUACACAACUUGUGGCACAUUUGGGUAAAGGAAAAAAGCUUGUGUCAUCUGUCUUCUCUGAGCAGCGGUCUUGUGAUCACCGGUCUCAGUAUAAUAAAGAAAAGAUUUGACAGAACUACAUACCCAUCUGAGGCCUACCUGUUUUAAUUCAUGAUCACCCCGGAUACUUCUACAACUAACCUGCUUGGUGUCUGAUGCUGAUGCAGUCUGGGCACUAGUAUCUGUUGGCUUGCUGACUAUCACUGACGAUGAAGUACUUCUCCAAAUCUUGACCCAGUGUCUUCUGCCAUCAUUGUUCAGGGUAGUACUGCAAAGAAUAGUCUCCAGGGUCUGCCUCCAACAUUUGCUUCCCGACCACCAUGUGCUACGCUUGCAUCACUACAUGUGGGUUACCCUGAUACUGUGAAGAAAACCUACAAUAUGAUGCUUGACUUGGGACAGAAAAAAAAAACAUUGGCAACUUGUGUGGCCAACUCAUUGCCGUAUUUAAAAUCAUUGUACUGCUACCUCCAUUGUUUAACAUAACUAAAAGCAGAUUGUUUUUGCUUUGUUUCAAAAUUUUUGUAAUACGAGUUAAAACUACAUUGAAAAAAAUAUAUCAUCUUUAACUUUGAACUGUCACUACAUUUGAUUUAGGGUAAUUAUGUGUGUGAAGAAUAGAACAUUGUUGUCAUGAAUUUGUAAUAGAUUUUUGAAGUAUUUAAGUUACUAGAGUAAUGGUAACUUUUUUUUUUAAAGGCAAUUGGUCAAAACUAGAUUUCUGUUCAAGUAAAUACAACUUAGA